UGCCCAAGAGACUGGGAUAACACCUGGAAACAGAUGCUAAUACCGGAUAAGAAAGCGGAUCGCAUGAUCAGCUUUUAAAAGGCGGCGUAAGCUGUCGCUAUGGGAUGGCCCCGCGGUGCAUUAGCUAGUUGGUAAGGUAAAGGCUUACCAAGGCGAUGAUGCAUAGCCGAGUUGAGAGACUGAUCGGCCACAUUGGGACUGAGACACGGCCCAAACUCCUACGGGAGGCAGCAGAC
rnacentral:rRNA from 1 species